rnacentral:rRNA from 1 species
UUGUCGAAUCCUGCAAAGCAGACGACCGCGAACUCGUGUAAACUCCCGGGCGUCGGGGAACAGGGGAGAUUGAAUCCUCUCCUAACUCCCCGGCGCUCCCCGCGCACCGCGCGGAAAACAACUAAACCCCGGCGCAGAAAGCGCCAAGGAAAACUCAAAAGGAUUGCCCACCUCCCCGUACGCGGGGUGUGCUGUGGCGUCUGUCGUAACCAAAACGACUCUCGGCAACGGAUAUCUCGGCUCUCGCAUCGAUGAAGAACGUAGCGAAAUGCGAUACUUGGUGUGAAUUGCAGAAUCCCGUGAACCAUCGAGUCUUUGAACGCAAGUUGCGCCCGAAGCCAUUAGGCCGAGGGCACGUCUGCCUGGGCGUCACGCAUCGCGUCGCCACCCCCAACUUUCGGGGCGGCGGAUACUGGCCUCCCGUGAUAAUAAGGCGCGGCUGGCCUAAAUUCGAGUCCUCGACGAGGGGCGUCACGACCAGUGGUGGUUGAAUGCCUCAACUCGAUUCCUGUCGUGCUCAUGGCCCUCGUCGUUUAUCGGGCUCCCUGACCCUUUCUGCUUGCAUCUCCGUGCGAGCCUCGACC